AGAGAGAGACAUGCGCGCAUAUCAAUAAGCGGAGGAAAAGAAACUAACAAGGAUUCCCUUAGUAACGGCGAGUGAAGCGGGAAGAGCUCAAAUUUGAAAUCCUCAAGGUUUUACCUUGACGAAUUGUAGUUUAAAGAAGUGUUUUCUGCUGAAGUUUUGGUAAAAGUUCUUUGGAAUAGGACAUCAUAGAGGGUGAGAAUCCCGUAUUUGACCAUUAUUUUCAGCUUUGUGAUACACUUUCAAAGAGUCGGAUUGUUUGGGAAUGCAGUCCAAAAUGGGUGGUAAAUUUCAUCUAAAGCUAAAUAUUGGCGAGAGACCGAUAGCGAACAAGUACCGUGAGGGAAAGAUGAAAAGAACUUUGAAAAGAGAGUUAAACAGUACGUGAAAUUGUCAAAAGGGAAGCGUUUGACACCAGUGUUGUUUUCUCGAAAAUCAAUUAAAAAUGGCUCGAUUUUGUAUUGCUGAGACCUUAAAAGCUCACUGUACAUUUUUCGUGUCUUUUUUAAUGCACUUUUCGUUUAACAAGUCAACAUCAGUUUCUUUUGUUGUAAAAGGGUCAUUGGAAGGUGGCUUUCUUUUCGGAGAAAGUGUUUAUAGCCUUUGGCCUCUGCAAUCGGAAGAGACUGAGGUCUGCAGCGUAGACUCUUCGGGGUUAGAUACAUUUGUGCUAAGUUAUAGCUUUUUAUAGACAACUUGUUGACUAUAAUUAGUCUUGUAGCUUACUCGCUUAUGCUAUUUUACCUACGCUUAGGAUGUUGAAGAUGUAGCACAUCAU
rnacentral:rRNA from 1 species